UGCAGAUAACUAUGCAUAUUUAGACAGAGAUUUAAGGGAUCCAAAGAAAUCAGAAAAAAAAAUCUACGACAUUUCAAAAUAUCAAUUAUGGAGGAGCCAAAGGCUUCAAAUCAGAUAUUUCCUUAAGGAAAAAAGCCGGAGGAGCAUGGAGAAAAUUGAUCUGUCGAAAGCAUUAGCAUUUGCAAUUAGAAAUGCUGGAAAGGCUACAAGAGAAGAUCUUUCAAGAAAUGCCUCAAUCAUUAGUUUCCUUCAUGAAGUUGAAAAGACAUCACUGGGAGCAGAAGAAAGAAGAUGCUGUCAACAACUUCCUAUGGUUCAUGUUCAUAUCAAAAAAAUUUCAAAGGAAACUAAAAAACUAAUCAGAUCCUUAAAGCAUGUAGCAAUGACCUCUAUUUUCAAAAAGGAAAGUACUUAAUACAA